CUGAAUUCCCAGGUGUUCCUAGUCAGUGACCAGCACUGAACACAGACUCACCAUGGAGCUGGGGCUGAGCUGGCUUUUCCUUGUUGCUGUCUUAAACGGUGUCCAGUGUGAGGUGAAGCUGGUACAGUCUGGGGGCGGCUUGGUGCAACCUGGAGGGUCCCUGAAACUCUCCUGUGCAAUGUCGAAAUUCACCUUCAGUAACUAUUGGAUGAGCUGGUUGCGCCAGACUCCAGGAAAGGGGCUGGAAUGGAUUGGAAAUAUUUACCCUGGUGCUGGUAUCACAAACUAUGCAGACACAAUCAAGGGCCGAUUCACCAUCUCCAGUGACAAUUCCAAGAACACCCUGUACCUGCAAAUGAGCAGUCUGAGGUCUGAGGACACAGCCACCUAUUACUGUGCAAAAGACACAGUGAGGGGACUUCAGUGUGAGCCCAGACAUAAAUGUCCCUGCAGGACCACUCCUAACCACAGGAAGGAGCUCAGCACAUGCUCAGCACAAGUUAAAUUUCUGUAA